GACGAACGCUGGCGGCGUGCUUAACACAUGCAAGUCGAACGGAAAGGCCUGCUUUCCCUUGUGGAUUGCGGGUACUCGAGUGGCGAACGGGUGAGUAACACGUGAGUGAUCUGCCCCCAACUUGGGUAUAAGCCUGGGAAACUGGGUCUAAUUCCCGAUAGGACUGCAGGGUAGUGCCUGUGGUGGAAAACGAUUUUCUAGUGGUUGGGGAUGAGCUCGCGGCCUAUCAGCUUGUGGGUGGGGUAAUGGCCUACCAAGGCGGCGACGGGUAGCCGGCCUGAGAGGGCCGACCGCCACAUUGGGCCUGAGUUACGGCCCAGACGCUGACGGGAGGAAGCAGUGGGGAAUAUUGCACGAUGGGCGGAAGCCGGAUGCAGCGACGGCGCGUGGGGGAUGACGGCCUGAGGGUUGUAAACUCCUUUCGACCGCGAGGAAGCCACCUGGUUGGAAGGGUGGUGACGGUAGUGGUAGAAGAAGCACCGGCUAACUACGUG
rnacentral:rRNA from 1 species